UACAGAGGCCACAAGCGUUAGACGGAAUCACUGGGCUUAAAGCGUGUGUAGACGGGAUGGUAAGUACCUUGUGAAAUCCCACAGCUUAACUGUGGAAAUGCUUGGUAUACUGCCGAUUCUUGAGUCACCUAGGGGCAGCUGGAACAGAUGGUGGAACGGUGAAAUGCAUAGAUAAUCAUCUGGGAACGCCGAGUGGCUGAAACAAGGUCUGGG
rnacentral:rRNA from 1 species